rnacentral:rRNA from 1 species
ACGCUGGCGGCACGCCUAACACAUGCAAGUCGAACGAAGUAGCAAUACUUAGUGGCAGACGGGUGAGUAACAUGUGGGUAUCUGCCCUUUGGCCUGGAAUAACACGAGGAAACUUGUGCUAAUACUGGAUAAGUCUUUACGGAGAAAGCUUUAUGCACCAUUGGAUGAGCCCGCACUUGAUUAGUUUGUUGGUGGGGUAAUGGCCUACCAAGACUGUGAUCAAUAGCUGAUUUGAGAGGAUGAUCAGCCACAUUGGGACUGAGACACGGCCCAAACUCCUACGGGAGGCAGCAGUGGGGAAUCUUGCACAAUGGAGGAAACUCUGAUGCAGCGAUGCCGCGUGAGUGAAGAAGGCCCUUGGGUUGUAAAGCUCUUUCGUCGGGGAAGAAAAUGACUGUACCCGAAUAAGAAGGUCCGGCUAACUUCGUGCCAGCAGCCGCGGUAAUACGAAGGGACCUAGCGUAGUUCGGAAUUACUGGGCUUAAAGAGUUCGUAGGUGGUUGAAAAAGUUGGUGGUGAAAUCCCAGAGCUUAACUCUGGAACUGCCAUCAAAACUUUUCAGCUAGAGUAUGAUAGAGGAAAGCAGAAUUUCUAGUGUAGAGGUGAAAUUCGUAGAUAUUAGAAAGAAUACCAAUUGCGAAGGCAGCUUUCUGGAUCAUUACUGACACUGAGGAACGAAAGCAUGGGUAGCGAAGAGGAUUAGAUACCCUCGUAGUCCAUGCCGUAAACGAUGUGUGUUAGACGUUGGAAAUUUAUUUUCAGUGUCGCAGCGAAAGCGAUAAACACACCGCCUGGGGAGUACGACCGCAAGGUUAAAACUCAAAUGAAUUGACGGGGACCCGCACAAGUAGUGGAGCAUGUGGUUUAAUUCGAAGAUACGCGCAGAACCUUACCAACACUUGACAUGUUCGUCGCGACUUUAAGAGAUUAAAGUUUUCGGUUCGGCCGGACGAAACACAGGUGCUGCAUGGCUGUCGUCAGCUCGUGUCGUGAGAUGUUGGGUUAAGUCCCGCAACGAGCGCAACCCUCACUUUUAGUUGCCAUCAUUAAGUUGGGCACUCUGAAAGAACUGCCAGUGAUAAGCUGGAGGAAGGUGGGGAUGACGUCAAGUCCUCACGGCCCUUACGUGUUGGGCUACACACGUGCUACAAUGGUAUCUACAACAGGAAGCAAGACGGCGACGUUAAGCAAAUCCUUAAAAGAUACCUCAGUUCGGAUUGCACUCUGCAACUCGAGUGCAUGAAGCUGGAAUUACUAGUAAUCGUGGAUCAGCGUGCCACGGUGAAUGCGUUCCCGGGUCUUGUACACACCGCCCGUCACACCAUGGGAGUUGGUUCUACCUUAAGGCAAGGUUUCAAACCCUUGACCACGGUAUAGUCAGCGACUGGGGUG